AUUGAACGCUGGCGGCAGGCCUAACACAUGCAAGUCGAACGAGUGGCGGACGGGUGAGUAAUGUCUGGGAAACUGCCCGAUGGAGGGGGAUAACUACUGGAAACGGUAGCUAAUACCGCAUACCAUCGGAUGUUCCCAGAUGGGAGUAGCUUGUAGGUGAGGUAACGGCGCACCUAGGCGACGCUCCCUAGCUGGUCUGAGAGGAUGACCAGCGACACUGGAACUGAGAGACGGUCCAGACUCCGAUGGGAGGCAGCAGUGGGGAAUAUUGCACAAUCGUCGCAAGCCGGAUGCAGGCAUGCCGCGUGUAUGAAGAAGGCUUUCGGGUUGUAAAUUACUUUCAGCGGGGAGGCGUUACCCGAAGAAGAAGCACCGGCUACAUCCGUGCCAGCAGCCGCGGGAAUAC
rnacentral:rRNA from 1 species